GAUAAAAAAAAAAAGAGAGAGAGAGAAAUGACAGUCUCCAGAUCCAAUAUAACUGGGAUUCUCCCCUUUAAUAUCAGACAGCAUUGAAUUAGAGGUAAAAAAGUGUUGCAUCUGUGACAAGACUAUAAGUGGCCUAAAUCGCUUUGCAACACAAAACAAAACAGCAUUCUGGCAGAAACUGCUAACUGUCCACCAAAACCUAUUCUCUUUUUCCAUGACCCCGAAUUACAGAUGAGCAUAUGGCUGUUCAGAUACACCCUGCAAUCGCUUGGGAUUUCAAUGGAAUGUGAGUGGAGAUUACUUGAGACAUAUCGGACACUAAAAGCGAGCCCCAGUUGCAUCUUGUGGAAAGCACUGAGAGCUACCAAAUAUACACGGACGUUUCCAGCAUGAGUAUAUUUCAUUCCCUUUGAGAUCCCACAAUAAAAUGAAAGUGAAGAAACUCAAUAACAUGAAUCAAUUGCCCGCCCUACCAUGGUGGAGGAGAAACACAAUGCGAGAUCAAUGACGCAAGAUGAAGCCAAAUAUGCUCCAGUGAGCAUGGUAACUGGAAAAAUUGCCUUAUUUUUAUGUUUCCUGGUUGUGCAUGUGGCCACCCAUGACAUUUAAAUAGAUGUGUAAGAAGAAAGGGUAGACAGUGCAGAGCAUGAUAAUCACAUGAAGGCAUCAGCUCCUGACAGCCCGCUACAGGCCAGCUUUCACAUCGUGGGUGGCAUUGAGUAGAUAACCCACAGGAAUUGUCUCUGAAUCUGAGGUCAGGAGAACACAGCCAAGGCUACACAAGACAGAGAAGAUUCUGCUGAAUUUCAAAAGCUCAGCACUCAAGAGGGGUUUGGUUGGAUGGUUUGUGUUACGUCAGCGUUGUCAGCUGGGACAGAAGGAUCUGUUUCCAUGAUGGCUUCUUCACUUACAAGCCUUACAGGUUGUGUGUUGAUAUGUAUGGAGGUAAGAAUGGAAUCAAGGAACAAACCAAACAAAUAACAAACAAACCUGCAUCUGAAAAGCGUGUCUAGUGCUUUGGUGCAUUUUGACUUCUUUACUUCUCAACAAGUUAUCUCAUCUUCAAGUUCUUCUUAGCAUCGUGGUUUCAGGGUAGUCCUACCUCUUAACAUGUCUACCUUCCAAAAGCAGGAAGUAGAAGUUGCCAGGCCAGUGAAAGGCUAUAUACAGAAUUAGUAUAACAUUAUAUUAGCUCUAUUCUAUUGAUUGAAGUAAUCCAAAAUCCUGCUGAGAUUCAGGGAGAUGGUGAAAUAACAUUUCUUGAUGGGAGAGUGGCAAGAAACUUGCAGAAAAGCAUGCAGGAUGAGGGAUAUUGUUGUGACCAUCUUUGGAAAAUUGUCUGCCGCAGAAUCAUAUGAUUCAAUUUGUGUAAAUAUUCAUUUUUUUCGAUUUAAACAUUUAGAAAAAUGUAGAAUUAAAACAAUGUUUCUGUGGGGCAUAGCAAUUUUGGAUAGAAUUUUGGGUAGCUACUUUCUAUUUCAAAUUCUUCAGUGUUUGAUUUUCUUCACAGUAAACAUGAAUUACUAUUGUAAUCAGCAAAAUUUUUUUAAAUCUCAAUUUUGAUGUUAAAAAGAAACAGGUUGUUUAAAAUUGCCUUCUUACAGAGUGUGCAGUGCCUGAAGCAUGCAUUUAAAAGGAUGACUUUUUUUCCUGUGGAAAAGUUGAGGAGGGACCUUUACAUUUAAGUUUCCACAUUUACAGAUGGAGUAGGAGUGAUAGCUUCUUAGAAAAAUUGAAUUUGAAUAAUGGAUUUAAAUAAUAGAGGCCAUUAUUCAGGAUGAGCUUAAUGUAGUCCCCAUCCAGAUGAAAGAUUAAGGCAAUGAGCAGAUAAAAGCCUUACAGAUGCCUUAUGCAAAUUAUGUCGUAUUUAAAACUAAAACAAAAAAUUAAAAAUAAAGCAGACCAAAGAUUUCAAGAAGGAAGGAUCUAGGGGUUAUAUGUGGUUUUCAGCCAUCAGAAAAAAAAUGACCUAAUUCUUUAGUGGACAUCUGUCUGAUUCCAAGUCUAUUUUCAGCAGUAUCAUUCCUGUGAGUUAUCAGGAUAACAAUAAAUGUAUACACUUGAAAAUUUUUCAUUGCUUUCACCAUCUUCUCAAACAUACCCAGAAGUCAUAAUGCUGGAAUUACACUGAUACAAUCAUCCCCAUGGAAACAGAGGCUGGUGUCAUAAAUAUGGCAUUAUGACUUCUCAGCAGGAGGAGGCACUGAAUGUGUAAGAUUUAUUCAAAAACACAAAUGUCUUGGAGAAUAACACUAAGGCAAAAUAAAUAAAUAAAUCCAUGAAAGGUCAUGGAGGUGCCCCGACUACAUGCAUUUCAAGAGAUGUUUUCUGAGGAUUUGCUCGCCUUUGGCAGGACUUGCUUGUGCCUAUACUUUCUUUUUCAUUGUUCUGUUGGCAUGGCAUGUUCUCAUCUUAGUCUUGGCUGUUCAGGCUGUCAGGGGCUGCAUUUACCAAUGGGGAAGUUGAGAUCCAGACAAGGGAAUGCACUUGCCCAACUCACCUAGCAAGUAAGUGGCCCCGAGGAAGCCAGAGCCCUUCUCCCGACACCUAAUCCAUGCAUUUGAGUGUCCCUGUCACAUGUCUGUUUUAUGUCCGUUUAUGCUGAGAACACGUGUGCAUCAAUUAGGACAUUGGUUUGAUUGUUCUAAUGAGACCCCCCUCCACUGUGAGAAGUGUUUUAAAUAAGAUAGAAGUUUUCCUCUCAUAGCAGUCCAUGGUGUCAGGCUGUGUGUAUGUCUGUGUGUGUGUGUCUGUGUGUGUGUAUAUAUAUAUAUAUAUAUACAGACAUAUUAGUAUAUGUGUAUAAUAUAUAUACAUAUUAGUGUCUCUUCUGUGCCACCCUCAUGCACUAGUAUAACACAUCACAUACCAUAUUUAUUUUCCAGACAGAGUAAGGAGAGGGUGUUCUCUCAUCUUUUAAGAGCACAAUUGGAAAGCUGCACAAAUCACUUCUGCUUACAUUCCAUUGGCCAGGACUUAGUCGUAUACCUUGUUUCAAGAAAUGCUGAAUAGCCAUGUGUUCUGCAGAAGUGGGGGAUCUAUUAUUACAGGAGAAGGGGAAAACAGAUUUGGCAACAACCAGUAAUCUCUGCCACACUUGCGUCUCCUGUGACAGAGCAUUGUUUUCAGUGGACUGUAAACUAAUUUCCUCUCAGCUAGUGCAAUGGCUGAAGACUGAUGAUUGUGAUAUUCAUUUACCCAAGGGUAGUUACAUUUCUCAUUAUCAUAUUGGUUAUAGAAAUCACUGAAUUGGCACAAAGAUUGGACACCAGGCCUAAGAUCAAGAUAGAUGUUAAUUGAUCAUUAGAGUAUGUAUUAGGAUUGUGAGAGAAACCCUCCAAGUUAGUGGCUGUAAGAACAAAUAAGUCUAUUUCUUUUUCUCCUAAUUGUCUGAGAUGUAUUGUUCAAUGCUGAUGAAGAUUUGCUUAUUACAGGAGAUGGGAGCAUGGAUAUUAGUGGGCAGCUAGUGGUUUUCUCUGCAGUGUAGCCAGCUAGAAUGACUGAGCUCUGACCAUUUCUUUCAUCCCAGCAUCUUUGACUAAAAGAUGAGAGAGAGACAGAGAGAGAGGGAGAGAAAGAGAGAGAGAGAGAAAGAGGUUUUCUGAUCAGUUAGGCUUAGACCACGUACGCACUCCUUAGUAGCUGCUGGGGAGGUAAGAAAAGGAUCGUGGAACCUCUUUUUACAUCUGGAUUUACAUUCCCACUAAGACUAUUCCCAGUACAAUACUGGCCAGGAGUUUCUCUCACAGACCUUCUGGUUCCAGAAAUAUUUCCUCUUGUUCUUGUUAUUGUAGCAGCACCCCUAUUUCCUCUUGAAAGUUACAACCAAUUAUGUCACCAAUGCAAUAAUUUUUUGGUUGUUUAUCCAGCAGCAUGAAGAGGUCAAAAUGAUCAGCUGGAAUUUUCUACUUUCAGCUUAAUGGAAGUGUUGCUGCAACCCCUGCUAGAAGUCUUUUCCUCUUGAAUUCUAAAACCUCUAAAUUAACAAAGUCCAAAGUUACAGAGAUGGGAAGAAAAUUUUCUGAGUCCACACUUUGACAAAUGGAUCAUAGUGUACUCUAGAGUUUCCCAGAAGUACUUACUCACAGCUAGAGUCUAAUUAUUUCUGAAUGGUUCUGGUAUUUUCAUUUUCUUAAUCAUCAGUUACUCUGGUCUCUAGUCCUCUUGGCUAUGGCAAGGAAGAAGAUUCUCAGUAUACAUUUGUGUUAUCUUACUGUUCUUACUCAAUGUUUACCUGAUUUUCCCUUUAUUCCAGGGGCUCUAAGUCUAUGAAUUGGCUCAGGCCUUGGAAUUGAAUAAGGGACUGUGAUUUUUUUAAUAGUGACUCAAAUGAGUCCUAUUCGCCAGACCCGCAGCAUGAUCAAUGACACAGAGCAGGUAGGACCAUAGAGUUGCUUAUUGUUUUGAUCUUAGAGAGUCCAGUGAUUAAAUAACUUUCAUCAAAUGUUAUUUCACAUAUUCUAAUUACUACUUGGGCUCUGCUGC